ensembl:lncRNA
GUGGGUCUGUGAGCACUGAUGUGAAGGCAGCUGAAGAAUUUUGGAAACUCUAGAUAAGCUGAUUGUGGAGGAAAAUUACUUGCCAGAGCAAAUAUUCAAUAUGGAUGAAACUUCCCUAUUCUGGAAACAGAGGCCUGAAAGGACUUUCAUCCAUAAGGAGGCCAAGUCAAUGCCAAGUUUCAAGCCUUUUAAGGACAUGUUAACAGUCUUGUUGGGGACGAGGUUAAGGGCUACAAAUGGAAACCCUUUGUGAUCUGGCACAGCAACAACCUCAAUGCCUUCAAGCACAUCAACAAGCACACACUGCCAGUGCAGAACAGGAGCAAUAAGAAGUCAUGGAUUACCCAACUCCUCUUCCAAGAUCCCCUCCUGAAUUGCUGUGCCAGUGAAAUGGAGAAGUGCUGUUUGGAGAAUAACAUACCUUUCAAGAUUUUGCUUAUUGUCGAAAACACUCUUGGACAUCCUCCUUUUACUGGUGGUCUUCAUCCCAAUAACAAUGUUAUGUCUUCCUCCAAACACCACCUGUUUGAUCCCACCACUGGAUCAAGGAGUUACAGCAGCUAUAAGGCCUUUGCCCAGGCUAUUGCUGCAACUGAGGAAGACACUCAUGCAAUUCUGGAAGGAGUACAACAUCUGUGACUGCAUCAAGAACUUCGCUUGGCUUGGGUUGAUGUCACCAAGGAGUGUAUGAAUGGCAUCUGGAAGAAAACACUUAAGAGGCUCAUCCAUGACUUCAGAGGAUUUGCCGAGGACGAGGAGUUUGUGAAAAUCAACAAGGCUGUGGGUGAGGUGGCAGACAACUUUAGUCUGGGUGAAUCAGGAUGACACCGAGGAGCUGCCAGAGACGUUCCCGAGGGUUGACUACCGAGGAGUUGUUGGAACUGGAACGGGAAUGCAGAGCUGAAGAAGAGGCGAGAGAAAGGAAACUACAGGAGAAGAAAAAGCACCCCCAAGAAAAUUCACAGUGAAGGGUUUAGCAGAAGAUUUGCAGACCUCAACAAGCUCCUUAAAAAGUUUGAAAACACGGACCCCAACCCAAAAGGUUUUCAUCAAUAGAGAGGAAUGUUCAUGGUGCAUUAUCUGCUUACAAGCAAAUCUAUGAGGAAAAACAGAAACAAACCAAGCAAACCACCGUGGACAUAUUUCUGAAAAGAGUGACACCUCCUCAGUAAGCGCCUCAGGCAGGUCCUUCAGGGGGUGUUCCAGAAGAAGCAUCGUAUCACAGGAGAUGACGGCUCCCUGCGUGUUAUUGCCCCUGAAGACCUUCCAGUGGGACAAGAUGUGGAGGUGGAAGUCAGGGAUACUGAUGAUCCUGACGCUGUGCAGGCCUAGGCUAAUAUGGUCCGCCUCUUGUCUUUGACGAGCACUGGACCUCAUGUUGGAUAGAAGACCAUUUAGGACACAAGAAAUUGUGUCAUAAUCCACUUCCAAAUCAGCCUCCUUCUUUGAAGAUGUCUCGUUGCACUGCCUGUAUUGUACUUGCCUGAUUCCCUGGUUCACUUUUAUUCUGUGUCCUCCCCUGUCUGCGUCUCCUCCACUAAGGGUGCCUCUCCUCGCCUGGGAGUUGUGUAGGAAUGCAUAUAAUAAUCAGAAGAUUGAUGAUCAGACUAAGAACUUCUGACAGCCGUGCUGUAAUAACGAGGACAUUGGCUUUCUCUGGAAUUAGGUGGGACGACGUCGGCACUAGACUAGGUCAUAAGGUCGGUGGAAUAGGUGAUGCCCUUCAUCUCUCACCUUGAAGGCCCCAGGGUCCACCUUCUGGGCCAGGAAAUCAUCAGGCCUGGCUCUGUCACAGUUAUUUCUGAAAUAGCGGCUUGAUAUUUUUCAGUAGUAACUGGCAUCUUUUGAAAAUAUUCCUGGCCUUUUG